GGAUUAGAUACCCUGGUAGUCCACGCUGUAAACGAUGAUCACUAGGUGUUCGGUCUAUUGCAGACUGAGUGCCCAAGCGAAAGCGAUAAGUGAUCCACCUGGGGAGUACGUUGGCAACAAUGAAACUCAAAGGAAUUGACGGGGGCCCGCACAAGCGGUGGAGCAUGUGGUUUAAUUCGAUGAUACGCGAGGAACCUUACCUGGGCUAUAAUGCCUCUGCCAGACGCCGAAAGGUGUUUUUCCUUCGGGACAGAGUGCAAGGUGCUGCAUGGUUGUCGUCAGCUCGUGCCG
rnacentral:rRNA from 1 species